CGCGGUUUCCCCGCAAGGGGAAACUGAGUGGCGAACGGGUGAGUAACACGUGGGUGACCUGCCUUCGAGUGGGGGAUAACAUCCCGAAAGGGGUGCUAAUACCGCAUGACAUCCUGCCUUUGAAGAGGCGGAGAUUAAAGCUGGGGAUCGCAAGACCUGGCGCUUGAAGAGGGGCCCGCGUCCGAUUAGCUAGUUGGUGGGGUAAUGGCCUACCAAGGCGACGAUCGGUAGCCGGCCUGAGAGGGCGGACGGCCACACUGGGACUGAGACACGGCCCAGACUCCUACGGGAGGCAGCAGUGGGGAAUUGUUCGCAAUGGGCGCAAGCCUGACGACGCAACGCCGCGUGGAGGACGAAGAUCUUCGGGUCGUAAACUCCUUUCGAUCGGGACGAAUGGCCGGUGGACCAACACUCCAUCGGAAUGACGGUACCGAGAGAAGAAGCCCCGGCUAACUCCGUGCCAGCAGCCGCGGUAAUACGGGGGGGGCAAGCGUUGUUCGGAAUUACUGGGCGUAAAGGGCGCGUAGGCGGCCUGCUAAGUCGAACGUGAAAUCCCCGGGCUCAACCCGGGAACUGCGUCCGAGACUGGCAGGCUCGAAUCCGGGAGAGGGAUGUGGAAUUCCAGGUGUAGCGGUGAAAUGCGUAGAUAUCUGGAGGAACAUCGGUGGCGAACGCGGCAUCCUGGACCGGUAUUGACGCUGAGGCGCGAAAGCCAGGGGAGCAAACGGGAUUAGAUACCCCGGUAGUCCUGGCCCUAAACGAUGAAUGCUUGGUG
rnacentral:rRNA from 1 species